GACGAACGCUGGCGGCGUGCUUAACACAUGCAAGUCGAACGGAAAGGCCCUGCUUUUGUGGGGUGCUCGAGUGGCGAACGGGUGAGUAACACGUGAGUAACCUGCCCUUGACUUUGGGAUAACUUCAGGAAACUGGGGCUAAUACCGGAUAGGAGCUCCUGCUGCAUGGUGGGGGUUGGAAAGUUUCGGCGGUUGGGGAUGGACUCGCGGCUUAUCAGCUUGUUGGUGGGGGAGUGGCUUACCAAGGCUUUGACGGGUAGCCGGCCUGAGAGGGUGACCGGCCACAUUGGGACUGAGAUACGGCCCAGACUCCUACGGGAGGCAGCAGUGGGGAAUAUUGCACAAUGGGCGGAAGCCUGAUGCAGCAACGCCGCGUGCGGGAUGACGGCCUUCGGGUUGUAAACCGCUUUCGCCUGUGACGAAGCGGGAGUGACGGUAAUGGGUAAAGAAGCACCGGCUAACUACGUG
rnacentral:rRNA from 1 species